GGUCCUUUAGCUCAGCGGUAUAGAGCGUCGCGGCGAUCUUGAUCCGGAUAAGGGGGGGAAUUUAGUCCCUACCUUUAUCUGGACUGUUCGCGCGAAGGGCUGGGUUCGACUCUCAGGGAGACCG